AUGAUCUUCAAGCUUGAUUUCAGGAAAGCUUUUGACUCCAUAUGCUGGUCCUCCCUCAUACAAAUCUUACAAGUACGUGGCUUUCCCUCGGACUUCUGCUCUUGGAUACAAAAUAUCCUUCUCACCGGGAAAACAGCUGUUCUUUUAAAUGGCGUUCCAGGUUCCUGGAUUCAAUGCAAAUGUGGCCUACGCCAAGGUGACCCCUUCUCGCCC
rnacentral:rRNA from 1 species